GUUCUGAUUAUUAUUUUUUUUUUCUUCCGCCUAAUUUUUUUUCUUGCGUAGUAUUGAUGUUUCAAAAGAUGUCGCUUAGAUAUUUGGAAUAUGAUAUCGUAUAGUUUAUACGCUUUAAAAAUUUACAACUGCGUAACAAAAUACUUUACGUUGUAAGAGUUAUCUCCCCAAACACUGUUUUUCUUGUGGCCACUACUCCUUCGCAACCGUAAAAGAUUACGACAAAUUUAUUUUACCAAAUUGCUCGUUACAUC
rnacentral:lncRNA from 1 species